UACGUAGGGUGCGAGCGUUGUCCGGAAUUAUUGGGCGUAAAGGGCUCGUAGGCGGUCUGUUGCGUCGGGAGUGAAAACUCAGGGCUUAACCCUGAGCCUGCUUCCGAUACGGGCAGACUAGAGGUAUGCAGGGGAGAACGGAAUUCCGUGGUGUAGCGGUGAAAUGCGCAGAUAUCAGGAGGAACACCGGGUGGCGAAGGCGGUUCUCUGGGCAAUUGACCUGACGCUGAGGAGCGAAAGUGUGGGGAGCGAACAGG
rnacentral:rRNA from 1 species